rfam:Triticum urartu cultivar G1812 contig1454952, whole genome shotgun sequence.
UUUAUACUUCCUCCGUCCGGAAAUACUUAUCCUACAAAUGGUUGUAUCUAAACUUAUUUUAGUUAUAGAUACAUUCAUUUUAUUCAUUUGUAGGACAAGUAUUUCCGGACGGAAGGAGUAUAUG